AAUAAGAUGCCUGAUUAAAGGGUUAUUUUGAUAGAAUAAAUUAAGUAUUAGUUUACUCUUAUUG
rnacentral:tRNA from 1 species